GCAGAAAAGACCCAAACGCAUCUAUAGUAUCAGUUCCUCCAGAGGACAAGAAAAUCCAUCAUAAAAAAGGCCUCAUGGUGGAAGAAAAGCCCGGGAAACAAAGUCCCACCAAGACACCUCCUACUCCAUGAAGUCUUCCUGAACCAUAAAGCACAUCACAUCAGAUGCACACGAUGCCAAGCUGUACCACUUCUAGCGAUGAUGCUACAGUUUCAUCAUUCAGUAAAGUGAUCUGAGACUACGUUUUCAACCCUGUACAGGACCAGCUGAAUAUUAGGACUCAUGAGUGAGGACAAAGUUGAUGGGAGUCAGGCAUGCCUAGACCUCACCAGCAGAGGUCAGAAGAAGACAAGAAGUACAAAAAGAAACGUGUCUUUUUACA